rnacentral:rRNA from 1 species
AUGAACGCUGGCGGCGUGCCUCAUACAUGCAAGUCGAGCGAACGGACGAGAAGCUUGCUUCUCGGAUGUUAGCGGCGGACGGGUGAGUAACACGUGGAUAACCUACCUAUAAGACUGGGAUAACUUCGGGAAACCGGAGCUAAUACCGGAUAAUAUUUUGAACCGCAUGGUUCAAAAGUGAAAGACGGUCUUGCUGCCACUUAUAGAUGGAUCCGCGCUGCAUUAGCUAGUUGGUAAGGUAACGGCUUACCAAGGCAACGAUGCAUAGCCGACCUGAGAGGGUGAUCGGCCACACUGGAACUGAGACACGGUCCAGACUCCUACGGGAGGCAGCAGUAGGGAAUCUUCCGCAAUGGGCGAAAGCCUGACGGAGCAACGCCGCGUGAGUGAUGAAGGUCUUCGGAUCGUAAAACUCUGUUAUUAGGGAAGAACAUAUGUGUAAGUAACUGUGCACAUCUUGACGGUACCUAAUCAGAAAGCCACGGCUAACUACGUG